CUGCCAACUGGAGUGUCAUGGUGGUUGGCUCCAAGUUGGUGAAGUUCAACCUGUCAAAGACCGAUUUCGGCAUGACGCUCACACUCGCCCCCAAAUCACAUAGGGCGUGGUCGAAUUGCUAGGCCCCAAUUGAGCAUGAGAUUGUGGGGCACCCAGGAUCCUGCUUCUUCUCGAGCAGCUCAUUGAGUAUAGUUGUGCUACAUUCUUCUGUC
rnacentral:lncRNA from 1 species